GUGCCAGCAGCCGUGGUAAUACGAAGGGGGCUAGCGUUUCUCGGAAUUACUGGGCGUAAAGGGCGCGUAGGCGGAUAGUUUAGUCAGAGGUGAAAGCCCAGGGCUCAACCUUGGAAUUGCCUUUGAUACUGGCUAUCUUGAGUUCGGCGGAGGUGAGUGGAAUGCCGAGUGUAGAGGUGAAAUUCGUAGAUAUUCGGCGGAACACCAGUGGCGAAGGCGACUCACUGGCCCGAUACUGACGCUGAGGCGCGAAAGCGUGGGGAGCAAACAGGAUUAGAAACCCCCGUAGUCC
rnacentral:rRNA from 1 species